rfam:Asian citrus Psyllid, Diaphorina citri - Florida Strain, whole genome shotgun sequence.
ACCAGGAGCGAUAGCACGUUGAACGCACCAGUUCCUCGGGGAUCACUGAAGUUAAGCAACGUUGGGCGUGGCUAGUACCUGGGUGGUGACAUCUGGGGAAUCGCGUCCUGCUGGGU